UGGGAACGUGCCUUUCGGUUCGGGAUAACCCAGGGAAACUUGGGCUAAUACCGGAUACGCCCUUCGGGGGAAAGAUUCAUUGCCGAAAGAUCGGCCGCGUCGGAUUAGCUAGUUGGUAGGGUAAAAGCCUACCAAGGCGACGAUCCGUAGCUGGUCUGAGAGGAUGACCAGCCACACUGGGACUGAGACACGGCCCAGACUCCUACGGGAGGCAG
rnacentral:rRNA from 1 species